GCUUCCAGAGGAUUAUGUAACCAAAUCCAAGCACACACCACUCACCACACAACAGCAAGUAAGCUGAGAGAUCUUCCUCAAGAGAAUGCCCUCAAUCCGAGAAAGCCUGAAGGAACGAGGUGUGGACAUGGCCAGGCUUGGUCCCGAGUGGAGCCAACCCAUGAAGAGGCUGACACUUGGCAACACCACCUCCUCCGUGAUCCUCACCAACUACAUGG
rnacentral:lncRNA from 1 species